CGGUGGAACAUGUGGUUUAAUGCGAUAAUCCACGCAAAAUCUUACCAACGUUUUAGGCUUUAAUAGUAAUAUGGUUAAUACUAUAAUUAAAUGAUAAAGUUCGGAAUUGCAUGGCUGUCGUCAGUUCGUGCUGUGAAGUUUAGGAUUAAGUUUUUCUUAACGAAUGUAACCCUAUAAAUAAGUUUUUAAUUUUUAAUAAAUAAAUUUUUAAGUUAUUCUUAUUUAAUCUAUAAUCAAUUUUAAAGAAAUCUUUUUUUUUAUAAUUGAUUAUAGGGGUUUUAGGCUGAAGUCAAGUCCCUAUGGUCUUUAUACGUUGGGCUACACACGUGUUACAAGGAUAAAAACAAAGAGACGCGAUAGAGUAAUCUGAAGCAAAUCUCUAAAAAUUAUCUUAGUUCAGAUUGUUUUAUGAAAUUCUAAAACAUGAAGAUGAAAUCGUUAGUAAUUGUAAAUUAUAAUGUUACAGUGAAAUAAUUGUCAAAUUUUGCACACACCGCCCAUCACGCUCGAAAAGUCGAUAUUAGCGGAAGAUUUUAAAAUUUCUACAUAAUACUUAAUUAUUAUAUAAUUUUGUAAUAAAUAUUAUUUUUUAAUAGUGUAGUUAAUAAGUAGUA
rnacentral:rRNA from 1 species